UUAGUAUUCAACGAGUGAAAACUUAUAAAAUUGAACUCAUAGUUAGUUAAGUUAUGUCCACGUUUAGUGUACAAAAGUUGUAUUAAUAAACAUGUGUUUUGCAAACUUUAUAGCAAUUGGUAGUGUACUAAAGAGAAAUUAAUUGUCAAACAUAUAUACUUUUGGAGUUCUUUUAAAUUCUAAUAUGUUUAGCAGAUCUUAUAGGUGAUAGAUGUUAUAAGGUCUCUCAAAUCUCAGAUUCACCUAGGCUUUUAAUAUAUUUCACAUCAGUUAGGAUCUAGAGUUACGGGAUACAAGAUCUGAGGAUGUGAUCGGCGUCUAUGGAUUGACUAGAAUGUGAUUGGGUUGGAACGUGGGACAGCAAGGUGGUGAGGUGACCAUGGAGGUGAGGGCACACAUGAACGAGAGUGAAGAAAGAAGUUUAUUUAGCUGGGAGUGGGAUCAAGCUUUUGAAAGUGCGUUACGCAGGCCUGUUUAAAAACAUACAUAUAUA
rnacentral:lncRNA from 1 species